AAAACCAAGCAAUAGGAAUAUUAAUUAACAUGGAUGGUCGCACGCUAAAGCAAUACAAAAUCGUUACAUUGAGCACCACAUGGCCCAUCACUGUCAACAUCCCUACACACACACAGCCUCAAACAGGAAAUUGAAGAAAUAUAAAAGUGGAUAAGGUGGUACCUAUACUAUUCUUAAGAAUAGUAAUAUAUAAUAAUAAUUAACGAGAAAGGAAAGAGAAGCCGGAACCGCUCAGUUUUUCCUCUAUUAUUUGGUCCAAAUGAGCACCCAUUUCUUCAUUGAAAUAAUUUUUCCAAUCUCCAGUGAUACCUUUUCUGAAGAAUUCAGUGUUUUGAACGGUAAAUGGGGAAUCUGGGCUAUACACGCCGCUUUUGUUCGCCUUCAAGUUCCUCAAACUAUCGAAACUACACAAAUCUACGAUAUGUUGCACUACCCCUCUUCUCUCUUCCUCUGGGGUAAAGGGAUAGCCCAUGAACUCAGCGAGCUUUUUAACAUUGAAAACAGUGUCCUUCUUGAGGUCUUCGUACACCAAAAACAACACCUCCUCAGGGCUUUUCACGCUUGCUUUCCAAUACCCCAAAACAUGGUCCCAAUAGGGUCCGUUGCCUGAAAUUCCUUCACAAAAUAUUUCAAACGAAUGAUUCAAAUUGAUAUAUGCAUCCUUAUCAAUUCCUUCAGGCAACUUUCCUCUCAGAAAGUGCCACAUAGAUAUUAGCACGUCCUUAGGGUCUCUGCAUAAAUAAACAAGUUUACAACCUGAUUCUGAUAUGGAAGUUGGCAAAGAAUUAUAAGGAAUGUGCGUAGCUACUAGUGGGAUUUCUUGGUCACGAUUGCAUACGUUUCUCGCAGCAUCAAUCUCCAAAAAGGGAACACAAUCAUGUGGUGCUUUUGUGAGCAAUGGAUUUUCGAAAUCGCUAAAUCUGGAGCGGGUAACAAUGGCAUAGGCAAGAGCCUUAAGCCAAGUCGUGCCAGAUUUGGGAUAAGUACAAAGAACAAUAUCAUAAGGUUGAGGCCUAAAGUUUUCUUGAGCAGCCAACAAGCCGACUAGGUAGACUUGGAAGUACCAAAAGCCUUGGUAUUGGUAAAGAGGCUGGACAACCCAAUCAUCCCUUUGGGGAAAGCUUGACAUGAUCUCUUUGUACUUGUCCUGUUGGGUAAGUGGAGCAUCUUUUUCUCCUCCUUCCCUAGCUUCAUGGACAAGGGGAAGUGCAUUAUAGCCUCGUGCUUGUCGCAAGGGCAAGAUUUUAGAAACCCGUGGAGUUGGACUCCUUCGGGAGAUCAACAUAGGACUCGUCACUUUAGUGUUCUUUGAAAAUUGUGGAGUCCCGACAGACGUGGGAACUGCAUUUAGCAUUUUUCCAUAAACAAGAUCCAUUUGGGAAGAGGAAAGAAAGGAUGCACGAAAGGGAAUGUAGGAAGGAAGCUAGUAUGGUGAGCACUUGAGGAGUAAUAUGCUUCUCUGUUUUGUGCUUAUGGAGCUGUGGAG
rnacentral:misc_RNA from 1 species